GAGACACUGGCCGAGCGGUUAAGGCAUGAGCCUAGAAAGCUCAUAUUGUUUCCCCGCGCAGGUUCAGAUCCUUCAGGUGUUGAUUCU